CGGGCCGGCGUACAGGUGCUGCAUGGCUGUCGUCAGCUCGUGCUGUGAAGUGUUGGGUUAAGUCCCGCAACGAGCGCAACCCCUGCUAUCUGUUGCCAGCAAGUGAUGUUGGGGACUCAGAUGGAACUGCCGGUGCAAACCGAGGAAGUGGGGACGACGUCAAGUCAUCAUGGCCCUUAUGUCCUGGGCUACACACGUGCUACAAUGGCCGGUACAGAGCGCAGCGAAGCCGCGAGGCAAGGCGAAUCGCAAAAAGCCGGUCUCAGUACGGAUUGGAGUCUGAAACCCGACUCCAUGAAGUUGGAAUCGCUAGUAAUCGCGCAUCAGCAUGGCGCGGUGAAUACGUUCCCGGGCCUU
rnacentral:rRNA from 1 species